rnacentral:lncRNA from 1 species
CUCUGAUGGUACUAACUGAUGCCCAAGGAGAAAGCUUGAUGAUUUAGAGAUGAAGAAGAAAGGAAUUGCACCCUUGGGACUUGGCUAUUCCACUUGAGCGACAACACCCGUGGAAGGUGAUGGUAUAUUUUUUCCAAAGCAAAGGCCUCAGUUUCCAGCAGAAUUUGCAACCCAGUAAUAAAUAUUUAAAGGAGUUAUAAUGGAACUGAAACAAAGAGUGCACACACACACACACACACACACGUACACACAUGUGUACAGACACACACACAAAGACAUGCACACUCACAGUCAAUUAGUCUGAGGUCAUUCUGGUGCAGAUGGUGCCUCUGUUCAAACCCUGAGAUAUUUUGUUUUUUCUGUCAGGAAACUUGGCCACCUCAGAAUUUUAAUACCCCAUAAAAAAACAUAUAAAAAAAUUAUUCUUUACUGUCUAUGUAGCAGAUCACUCGAACAUCCAUGUCAAAGGCAUUUUCUUCAAGAAAAUCUCCUUCUGCCCCUAAAAGAGUGUAAUAAAGAGUACAAUCCAUGCUGAUUUCUUGGUAUUCUUUCUCAGGUAUGAACUUUAGGAUUUUCAAUCAUCUCUAUUUUAUUCUAUAACAGACUAAAAUAAAUUACACCAGAAUGGCAGUUUUGGAACAUAUGAGAACUACACAACUACCAUUUGGCUUCAAAUGUAUAGAUUAUUAUAAAGCAAAUGAGACACUGAUGUACUUUUCCAUUUACAAAGCUUGGAUUUUCCCCUAUGGGCAUAACACUAGGUGAUAUCUUAAUUAAUGAUGGUGAAGACCAUAUAUGUGACAUAAACAAAAGAGCUGCAUUUUAACAAUAAUAAAAAAGAGAAGAACAAAAUAUUACAACUCUUGUGAGAAAGAAUGAACUGAUUCCAAAAAGUAGAAUAAUGAAAACUGAAAGGCAAAAGAAGGGAGAAUGUGACGUAGAUAUUGGAGCUACCUGCAAAUGUCUCCCUUUACCAACCAGAAGCUCUUCAUCGGGAGAGACCUUUGGGAUGGAUCCGCUGGCAAGGAGAAGGGAGCGAGAAAGCUCCUGCAGGAAAGGAGAGCCGGUCUAGUCCAGGAGAAGCUCCUGGGAGAGGGGCAAGCGUGGACAGAGGCAGGAAGGCCUCCCACUCCUGUCGCUCACCAUUCCCGUGCCAGCCCUGCUCCAUCUGCUGGCAAGAACAAUGCGGAGCCGCUGCCGCCUGCCCGCCGGGAUCCAGCCCCUCCUGUCCUCCUCCCCAGCCCAUUUCAUCGGCCACAAGUGCCGAGGGACAGAAGAGCAGAGCCUCCCCCACACACAGGAGGGAGAACAACACUUAUUUUUGGAUCCCUGCUUUCCCAUAGGCUUCCCCUCUAUUUUAGCCUCCAAGAUGUCAUUAAAGUUACAAAUUAAGUACUGAGCAUGCAGUGUAUUUACUAUCUGAUCUGCUGGCUGGGAAGUUUAUUCCCCUGAUCACCUGUGGUCAGUCAAACCCAAUGGAAAUAUCCUGCAAGGCCCCUGAGGUUGCACAUUGGGAUGCUGAUGGGAAUGGAGAGAGGUGGAAGUACCAGCUGCUGCCUCAGCCAAGUGCCCAGGAAACCAGGGUGCAGAUGUGAAAGGUGUUCAGGGGAAAUGUGAAUCCUUUGCCUCUUUCCUUUGCUGCUCGGUGCUUUGCAAGGGUAUUGUUUUGGCUCUGCCUCCGUUUUUCCCUUGGCUACUACGUGUUUAAGAGAACAGGCUGAGGAAAGCUCUGAUAUUUUCAAAAUGUGAAAGCAACAUGCAAAGCUUUUGCCAUGUAUGAGCCUGCAUGGCAUUGUGAAUUUGACUCACUCUUCUCUCCACAUGGAGAUGCAGGGUGUUCACAGCUCCCUUAUGAAAGGGUUUUUCAGCUCUAGCACCAUGGGUAUUAAAUGUUUUUUAUUCUUGUCCUACCUUCUGCUUUUGGGAAAUCAUCUGCACCUGGAAUUUGUGUCUCUCUUCCAUAAGGGAAAAGAAGCAUGUUCAUCCUGCUGUGGUCCUUGUAUAUGGCAAGUCUUCCAGCUCUGGGUUACAGGUGAAUGGGGUGGGCUGAGCUUCCCCACAUCAGUUAGGUCCUCAGGGAGGGAAGAAGGGCAGCCAGCGUCAGACCAGUGUUUACAGAAAGUUUAGUCUCCAAUGGAUUUCCCUAUUCCAGUGAAACAAUAGGAGGGUCUUGUGCUGUAUUAUCCAUGCGUCCUCUUUAUUCUGAUAUUAUCUGUGAAUUCUUGCAAAUAAUAGAUGACAGAGACCAUUAUUGUUUUGGGAAGUAGGAAGAUAAAAACAUUAGAUGGACCUUAGCAGUUUCAAUAGACUUAUUCACCGUGUUUGUAGCCAUGCAAAUCAGAAACUAGCAAAAUACCUGUUGGAAUAAGUAAUAACCCUGUGCAUUCACUGAAGCAGUUCUUUUACAUCUCGUUUUUAACAAGAGACUGCCUCUGUCAAACAAGUGCUAGAGUUCAAAACAAAAAGGGAAAGCAAACAUAACUCCACUCUUAAUGCCAUAAGAUUUUUGGGAAGCAAUCCAUUUCAGCUCUUUCAUGUAUCUGCAUUAAUACAGGAAUUUAAUAUAAAUUGCAUGAUGGUGAUUAAUAAAUCUUCUAUUAAUUGAACUUGAAGUAAAAAG